GCAAGCUGCUUCAUACAAAAACCAUGCCACUCAGGGGGAGAGUUCAUCCUCUCCAAUCUAAUAUAUACUGUAUAGUGCCAAACUUCUAGGCACACCUACUUGGGCAUUUCUUUUAGGGAGUGAUGCCGGUUUACACUUUGAAUAUAAUUCAAAAUGAAGAAUACCCUCCAGCAAGACACAGCUUUUGCCAAAGCAUCUCAGAAGACUUCCCCUUUUGCUGAAUCAAAUGCUACCUGAAACAUUGACUCAAUUGGUACCAACUGUGAAAUUGUGAAGAACAAGAGAGCAAGCAUCUCAGUUAAAAAAACUGCAGGAGGGAGAGCAAAUUCAGGCUUGAAGUUAGUUAAUCACACAACUGCCUAUAUUUGCUGAAUGCAAAAUCAAAUCUGGUUCUCCGAACUAUCGAACAACUUGAACUCUCAAUCAACUUGCAGACUGUCAAAUUACAAU
rnacentral:lncRNA from 1 species